CGCGGUUCUCAAGCGGCGGCAGCCUCUGCCCGAAGAAAUAAUGAACAUUUUACACAGGUACAGAAGCGAACAAACACAGUUGCGAGAUUGGCAAUAUCGGUCAAGUGCAGCGCAUCGGGACCAAAUAAGUUGCAAGAUGGGUAACAGGUUUGGGUAUCCGUUCACAUCUUAAAUGCCUAUACUUAACGUAUCGGUUGUAAGUGACAACUCAAAUUUGAGACUCUGUAACGAAAUUAAGGUAAUUAGUCCAACAGGAGGGUUCCUCAAAAUACCGAUUUUUGUUGAUAGUGAUAUAAGAUUUCCACCAAGUUAUAUCCAUUUAUUAUAGGUUAGUCUAGGUUUUUGUAAAUUUUAAUUUGUGUUUAGUAAACUUCUAAUGCCGAUGUCACAGGUUUUUAAUAAUCUCAAACGUUUUCACUCCCCCCCCCCUUAUCCUAGGAUAAUUUUUUUGGGGGUGAAUCAGUAUAUUUAUCCCCACCUCCUAACGGUAAAAUGUUUACUAAAAACAAAGGUUUAUAGAUUAGGCGGGGCUAUAGGCAUCGCACCAAUUUCCGGGCCUAUAUAUUGACGGAUCCUUAAAAUUUUUCGAACUUACACCACCACGAUUUGAACAAUAGGAAAUAUCAACAAUGUAUGUGAUUAAAAGGUUAUUAUUUGAAAAAUCAAAAUCAUUCGCUUGUAUCAGAUACAAGCGUAAAAGGCAUACCACAAGGUGAUAACUGCCAAAGUUUACCUACCUAUACCUAUUACCCAUAUAUUAUACUCUAAAUAUGUGAGGACGAACACAGGAAGAGUAUAUUCAAUAUUGUGUAAAGAGCGGACUGUUUUCAUUAUGAAGGUCGAGACGAACAUAAUAAAUACUAAUAAUUAAAGGAAAAAACAUAUAUUUAUUCUUUUUUUUUACACAAAAUACAAAAGAAUUUCUUUUUACAAAUAAAAUCGUUUAAAACUAAGUUGGUUUAAAUUAUUAUCAUGUAUAGUGUAUACAAUAUUACAACCACAUUCGAUAAUUAUAACAUAAUCAUAUUGACGUAAAAAAAAAAUAUAUAUAUAGGUAUAUAGUUAUUAUAAUAUAUGAUUAAAAAUUUCGUUUCUCGACUUUGAUAUACUUAGUAGACACAGCUCGUUCAAAUAGACAUUAGAAGUAGUACAUAUUGUAUUAAAUUAUGUACUACGUAUAAUAGAAAUAUAUAGUAAUAUAAUGGGUGUGUUGUAAUAAAAAUAUAAUAUGAAAUAAUAUAUAAAAUCUUUUCUUCGAGACGGCAAAACAAAAGAAAAACAAAUAAAAUAUUCGUAUAAAAAGCGAUAAAAAAAAAAAAUUUAAUACAAAUCUCAAAAUACCAUUCUUUUGCAGCAGCGCGAAAGGUAAUCAUUUAAAUACAAACAAUUAUAAUAAAUGUAAAUAUAAUUCACCGUGUAACAUUAGUGGUAAUAGUAGUAGUAAUAAUAGUAUAUAAUCGAUACUUUUUAUAAGCAAUUACAGGUACUGUUGCGCUGUGUGUGUGUGUACAGAAAUACCGAGCAAAUACUAUUUUUUUUUUUUAUUAUACAAUAUAAAUUGACCGAUAAAUGUGUCAGGGCAAAAAUUAGUUUUGUAACAUAUUAAGCUGAUUAUUAACGAGUAGAAAGAACAUAAUAUAAUAAUUGUUUUAUGUUCAACAAUCUAUACAUUAUUUAACGUCACAAAACGUCAACGGCUAUUAUACUGACGUCAAAAUAGCAAUUUUUUAACUUAUAAAUUAUAAUAAUAUGUUUGUGCACGUGCACUUAUGUGUGUGUAUCUGUUUCUUAAUUUGUACUUAAUUGACUAAAUGUAUAAUGUUAAUAUAUAUGUUUGUGUGUGUUUUGUUAUUAAUUUAUUACUUAAAUAAAACUAAAAGUUUGGCGCAGUAUCUAGGAAGAAACACAAAUUGUUUAUAUAUAUAUAUAUAUAUGUGUGUGUGUAAUAUUAUUAUUAUGGACUAAUAGUAAGUGACAAAUGUGUGUCAGAUGUAAUAAUAUUAAUACCAUUAAAUACAGUUUGUCAUUGUCUUAUAUAAUAGGUAUAAUACAAAACUCUAAGUAAAUACCUAUGAUAAUAUUACAAUGUAUAUAUUAUAAUGAUUUAAAAGCAUUUGGGUGAAUUUUAAUAAGUAUAUCACAGUAUUAAAUAUGGGUAAACACUUAUACACUGCAUAAUAGUAUUUGUGUCUUCAAGGGCUUAAAGGAAUUGAAGGUACAAGUAGCAAUGAGGGGACAAAUGAGUUGUAUUAAAAUGGACACCGGAAAAUUUUUUAUAUUUUCACUAUUAAUACUAGUCAUCCGAUGGCAAUAAAAAGCCUCAUAAAAAUAAUAUUGCUUUAAAAAAUUUGAAAAUACCAUACUGUUUUAUUGAUCACAAACUUAUAUCAAUAUAGUAUAAAGAGAUUCAAUCAUAAGAGUAGUGAGCAGUCAAAAAUACUUAAUAUAUGAGUUAAAAAUAAUAAUAAAUGUAUAAAAAUGUUUGUGACAUAAAAUACUGAUAAAUGUUGUUUGAUUAUUAAAUAUUUUCAACUAGGGACAGUAUGAGUGAAAGAAAAAGUAAAAAUUUACAAAAUUGGUUAAUACUUCACUAUACUAAUUUCAAGUAUUCAAAUUGAAAAAAAUGUGUUCGGGUAGUAGUGUAAUACUGGAAUUUAUGCAUAGUACAUAAUCUAACAACAAAAUGGAUUGGCGUACAAAUAAUAAUAUUUCAUUCAAAUUAACCAUAGAUUUGUAUUGUUUUUUUUUUGUAAUU